AACGAACGCUGGCGGCAUGCCUAACACAUGCAAGUCGAACGAGACCUUCGGGUCUAGUGGCGCACGGGUGCGUAACGCGUGGUAACCUGCCCUUAGGUUCGGAAUAACUCCCCGAAAGGGGUGCUAAUACCGGCUAAUGUCUUCGGACCAAAGAUUUAUCGCCUUUGGAUGGGCCCGCGUUGGAUUAGCUAGUUGGUAGGGUAAAAGCCUACCAAGGCGACGAUCCAUAGCUGGUCUGAGAGGAUGAUCAGCCACACUGGGACUGAGACACGGCCCAGACUCCUACGGGAGGCAGCAGUGGGGAAUAUUGGACAAUGGGCGAAAGCCUGAUCCAGCAAUGCCGCGUGAGUGAUGAAGGCCUUAGGGUUGUAAAGCUCUUUUACCCGGGAUGAUAAUGACAGUACCGGGAGAAUAAGCUCCGGCUAACUCCGUG
rnacentral:rRNA from 1 species